rnacentral:rRNA from 1 species
UACAGAGGGUGCAAGCGUUGUUCGGAAUUAUUGGGCGUAAAGGGCGCGUAGGCGGUGCGGUAAGUCUGUAGUGAAAUCUCUGGGCUCAACUCAGAGUCUGCUGCAGAAACUGCCGUGCUUGAGUGUGGGAGAGGUGAGUGGAAUUCCCGGUGUAGCGGUGAAAUGCGCAGAUAUCGGGAGGAACACCGGUGGCGAAGGCGGUUCUCUGGGCCUGUACUGACGCUGAGGAGCGAAAGCGUGGGGAGCAAACAGG